rfam:Staphylococcus carnosus subsp. carnosus TM300 complete genome
AGCUACAUACAACCGCUCAAAUAUAGGUAUAAGUAUAUUGAUAAAAUAUCACCUAUAUAUGGCGUGACUUAUUAUAUAG